GCCUACACAUGCAAGUCGAACGGCAGCAUGCACUAGCUUGCUAGUGUGAUGGCGAGUGGCGGACGGGUGAGUAACGCGUAGGAAUCUGCCUUGAUGUUUGGGACAACUCGGGGAAACUCGAGCUAAUACCGGAUAAUCUUUAAGGAGGAAAGCUGGGUUUUGGCCUGGCGCAUUAAGAUGAGCCUGCGUACGAUUAGCUAGUUGGUAGGGUAAAGGCCUACCAAGGCGAUGAUCGUUAGCUGUUCUGAGAGGAAGACCAGCCACACUGGGACUGAGACACGGCCCAGACUCCUACGGGAGGCAGCAGUGGGGAAUAUUGGACAAUGGGGGGAACCCUGAUCCAGCAAUGCCGCGUGUGUGAAGAAGGCCUGCGGGUUGUAAAGCACUUUCGUUGGGGAGGAAGAUAUAUCCUUGAAUAGGGGAUGUAUUUGACGUUACCCGAAGAAGAAGCACCGGCUAACUCUGUGCCAGCAGCCGCGGUAAGACAGAGGGUGCGAGCGUUAAUCGGAAUAACUGGGCGUAAAGAGCACGUAGGCGGUUUACUAAGUUUAGUGUGAAAGACCAGGGCUUAACCUUGGUAUGUCAUUAGAUACUGGUAGACUAGAGAGCGGUAUAGGAGAGUGGAAUUUCCGGUGUAGCGGUGAAAUGCGUAGAUAUCGGAAGGAACAUCAGAGGCGAAAGCGACUCUCUGGGCUGAAUCUGACGCUGAGGUGCGAAGGCGUGGGUAGCGAACAGGAUUAGAUACCCUGGUAGUCCACGCAGUAAACGAUGAAGACUAGAUGUAUGGUUGUUACGGCAACUGUGUAUUGCAGCUAACGCGAUAAGUUUUCCGCCUGGGGGAGUACGGUCGCAAGAUUAAAAACUCAAAGGGAAUUGACGGG
rnacentral:rRNA from 1 species